rnacentral:rRNA from 1 species
GGUUAAGCGACUAAGCGUACACGGUGGAUGCCCUGGCAGUCAGAGGCGAUGAAGGACGUGCUAAUCUGCGAUAAGCGUCGGUAAGGUGAUAUGAACCGUUAUAACCGGCGAUUUCCGAAUGGGGAAACCCAGUGUGUUUCGACACACUAUCAUUAACUGAAUCCAUAGGUUAAUGAGGCGAACCGGGGGAACUGAAACAUCUAAGUACCCCGAGGAAAAGAAAUCAACCGAGAUUCCCCCAGUAGCGGCGAGCGAACGGGGAGCAGCCCAGAGCCUGAAUCAGUGUGUGUGUUAGUGGAAGCGUCUGGAAAGGCGCGCGAUACAGGGUGACAGCCCCGUACACAAAAAUGCACAUGCUGUGAGCUCGAUGAGUAGGGCGGGACACGUGGUAUCCUGUCUGAAUAUGGGGGGACCAUCCUCCAAGGCUAAAUACUCCUGACUGACCGAUAGUGAACCAGUACCGUGAGGGAAAGGCGAAAAGAACCCCGGCGAGGGGAGUGAAAAAGAACCUGAAACCGUGUACGUACAAGCAGUGGGAGCACGCUUAGGCGUGUGACUGCGUACCUUUUGUAUAAUGGGUCAGCGACUUAUAUUCUGUAGCAAGGUUAACCGAAUAGGGGAGCCGAAGGGAAACCGAGUCUUAACUGGGCGUUAAGUUGCAGGGUAUAGACCCGAAACCCGGUGAUCUAGCCAUGGGCAGGUUGAAGGUUGGGUAACACUAACUGGAGGACCGAACCGACUAAUGUUGAAAAAUUAGCGGAUGACUUGUGGCUGGGGGUGAAAGGCCAAUCAAACCGGGAGAUAGCUGGUUCUCCCCGAAAGCUAUUUAGGUAGCGCCUCGUGAAUUCAUCUCCGGGGGUAGAGCACUGUUUCGGCAAGGGGGUCAUCCCGACUUACCAACCCGAUGCAAACUGCGAAUACCGGAGAAUGUUAUCACGGGAGACACACGGCGGGUGCUAACGUCCGUCGUGAAGAGGGAAACAACCCAGACCGCCAGCUAAGGUCCCAAAGUCAUGGUUAAGUGGGAAACGAUGUGGGAAGGCCCAGACAGCCAGGAUGUUGGCUUAGAAGCAGCCAUCAUUUAAAGAAAGCGUAAUAGCUCACUGGUCGAGUCGGCCUGCGCGGAAGAUGUAACGGGGCUAAACCAUGCACCGAAGCUGCGGCAGCGACGCUGAUGCGUUGUUGGGUAGGGGAGCGUUCUGUAAGCCUGCGAAGGUGUGCUGUGAGGCAUGCUGGAGGUAUCAGAAGUGCGAAUGCUGACAUAAGUAACGAUAAAGCGGGUGAAAAGCCCGCUCGCCGGAAGACCAAGGGUUCCUGUCCAACGUUAAUCGGGGCAGGGUGAGUCGACCCCUAAGGCGAGGCCGAAAGGCGUAGUCGAUGGGAAACAGGUUAAUAUUCCUGUACUUGGUGUUACUGCGAAGGGGGGACGGAGAAGGCUAUGUUGGCCGGGCGACGGUUGUCCCGGUUUAAGCGUGUAGGCUGGUUUUCCAGGCAAAUCCGGAAAAUCAAGGCUGAGGCGUGAUGACGAGGCACUACGGUGCUGAAGCAACAAAUGCCCUGCUUCCAGGAAAAGCCUCUAAGCAUCAGGUAACAUCAAAUCGUACCCCAAACCGACACAGGUGGUCAGGUAGAGAAUACCAAGGCGCUUGAGAGAACUCGGGUGAAGGAACUAGGCAAAAUGGUGCCGUAACUUCGGGAGAAGGCACGCUGAUAUGUAGGUGAAGUCCCUCGCGGAUGGAGCUGAAAUCAGUCGAAGAUACCAGCUGGCUGCAACUGUUUAUUAAAAACACAGCACUGUGCAAACACGAAAGUGGACGUAUACGGUGUGACGCCUGCCCGGUGCCGGAAGGUUAAUUGAUGGGGUCAGCGCAAGCGAAGCUCUUGAUCGAAGCCCCGGUAAACGGCGGCCGUAACUAUAACGGUCCUAAGGUAGCGAAAUUCCUUGUCGGGUAAGUUCCGACCUGCACGAAUGGCGUAAUGAUGGCCAGGCUGUCUCCACCCGAGACUCAGUGAAAUUGAACUCGCUGUGAAGAUGCAGUGUACCCGCGGCAAGACGGAAAGACCCCGUGAACCUUUACUAUAGCUUGACACUGAACAUUGAGCCUUGAUGUGUAGGAUAGGUGGGAGGCUUUGAAGUGUGGACGCCAGUCUGCAUGGAGCCGGCCUUGAAAUACCACCCUUUAAUGUUUGAUGUUCUAACGUGGACCCGUAAUCCGGGUUGCGGACAGUGUCUGGUGGGUAGUUUGACUGGGGCGGUCUCCUCCUAAAGAGUAACGGAGGAGCACGAAGGUUGGCUAAUCCUGGUCGGACAUCAGGAGGUUAGUGCAAUGGCAUAAGCCAGCUUGACUGCGAGCGUGACGGCGCGAGCAGGUGCGAAAGCAGGUCAUAGUGAUCCGGUGGUUCUGAAUGGAAGGGCCAUCGCUCAACGGAUAAAAGGUACUCCGGGGAUAACAGGCUGAUACCGCCCAAGAGUUCAUAUCGACGGCGGUGUUUGGCACCUCGAUGUCGGCUCAUCACAUCCUGGGGCUGAAGUAGGUCCCAAGGGUAUGGCUGUUCGCCAUUUAAAGUGGUACGCGAGCUGGGUUUAGAACGUCGUGAGACAGUUCGGUCCCUAUCUGCCGUGGGCGCUGGAGAACUGAGGGGGGCUGCUCCUAGUACGAGAGGACCGGAGUGGACGCAUCACUGGUGUUCGGGUUGUCAUGCCAAUGGCACUGCCCGGUAGCUAAAUGCGGAAGAGAUAAGUGCUGAAAGCAUCUAAGCACGAAACUUGCCCCGAGAUGAGUUCUCCCUGACUCCUUGAGAGUCCUGAAGGAACGUUGAAGACGACGACGUUGAUAGGCCGGGUGUGUAAGCGCAGCGAUGCGUUGAGCUAACCGGUACUAAUGAACCGUGAGGCUUAACCUUACAACGCCGAAGGUGUUUUG